ACAUAACUGAUGCCUCCGCGUAUCGACUUUGUGCGCAUUUUAGCUAUUAUGUGUUCUUUUAAUUAAAAUGAUUCUUUUUAAGAUUCAUCUAUUAAAAAUUUGCUUCGGCAUAAUUUUUUUUGAUGAUCUUGUUACUUUGAGUAAAUUAGAGUGUUCAAAGCAAACAGAUAUAGCAUUUGUGCGUUUGAAUACUACAGCAUGGAAUAACAAAAUUGAACAAGUCAGAAUUUUUUUGUUCUUUUUUCUUAUUUUGGCUUAGUUACGAUUAAUAGGAGUAGCUUGGGGGCAUUUGUAUUCAGAUGUCGGAGGUGAAAUUCUUAGAUUUUCUGGAGACAAACAACUGCGAAAGCAUUUGCCUAAAAUACUUCCAUUAAUCAAGAAUGAAAGUUAAGGGAGUGAAGACGAUCAGAUACCGUCGUAAUCUUAACCAUAAACUAUGCCGACUAGGCUUUGGAUGAAAGAUUUUAAAAUAAGAGUUUUUCUUUUCUCUCCGGAGAUUAGAACUCUUAGAUUGCUUCCUUCAGUGCCUUAUGAGAAAUCAAAGUCUUUGGGUUCUGGGGCGAGUAUUCGCGCAAGCGAGAAAGUUAAAAGAAUUGACGGAAGGGCACCACCAGGCGUGGAGCUUGCGGCUUAAUUUGACUCAACACGGGAAAACUCACUAGUUUAAGACAAGAGUAGGAUUGACAGAUUAAUAGCUCUUUCUUGAUUUCUUGGAUGGUGAUGCAUGGCCGUUUUUAGUUCGUGAAUAUGAUUUGUCUGGUUAAUUCCGAUAACGAACGAGAUCUUAACCUGCUAAUUAGCGGCAAAUACGAUAUAUUCUUAUGUAGAAUUGAAUAUAGUGGAUUUGUUAGAUUUUGAAGAAAAUAUUGGAAUUACGUUAAAUGUGAUUCCUUUCCCUUUUCUACUUAAUUUACAUUUCCAUCUAUUUCUUUUUUGCGUAUGAAUGUAUUUGCUUGAUUGUAAAGCUUCUUAGAGGAACGAUGUGUG
rnacentral:rRNA from 1 species